GCCUUGACCUAAUAAUCUCCCCAAAUCGUACUUUUCCAUCAGUACAUUUCCUUUUUUCUCCAUUUGAACCAACAAUUCUUGUAACCACUAAACUUACUUUCUCCUGCUGAUAUGAUACUCGAUUUUUUAACAGGCAGGAGAGGCCUUGUUGCAGACCUCACCCGGCUCCAACAAAACUGUGCUUCAGCAUGUCGGGAUGUUUAAGGGUUGUGGCUUCACUGUUCGUCUGGCACGAGAAGUUAAGUUUAUUCUCAGCUGCAUCAUUGAGAUCACUACGGAUGAAGCAGACUAAUUCCAAAGCACAUGAAAAUUCAGAAACCUCCAAUAGGUAAUCGUUGCCGUACAAUCCCAUCCUUCUGCAUCCCAAUUAUAUUGCUUU
rnacentral:misc_RNA from 1 species